CAACUUGAGAGUUUGAUCCUGGCUCAGAACGAACGCUGGCGGCAGGCUUAACACAUGCAAGUCGAACGCCCCGCAAGGGGAGUGGCAGACGGGUGAGUAACGCGUGGGAACAUACCCUU
rnacentral:rRNA from 1 species